rnacentral:lncRNA from 10 species
CUGAGUCGCGUCACGGCUAUUGGCUUGUUCCUACUGUGGCGUCAUUAGAGCCCGGCCUCCGGCUGGGGCCACCCAGGCAACCGAUAUACACAGAGAACCACGUGGAGGAAAAGCACGCGAGUUUGGAGCGGGUGGAGCAGGAACAGAGGUGGACUGGAAUGUCACACGACGGGGCAGCUGGAAGGGCACCACUGAGUUCAGUACUUCAAAAUUGCCGUGCUCUACCUCUCCCCAGUGCACAAAAACACUCUCCACACCAAGCUGCUGCUGCUGGGGGAUGGAGGGAUGGCGUCAGCGAUUCAAGACUGUUUUUCCUACCUGUUCAGCACUUCUUUCAGCGAUAUGAAGUUAAAUCCAGAGCAGCAAGAGGGAUCUUAUAAAAAUAUGACCAGAUCACAUCCUUCAACACUUCCCUGUUACCCUUACAAUAAAAUUCAAACUCUUCACCAUGACCUCCAAGGCUCCUAUUGAAUCCGGCUCUUGUCUGCCUCUUCAGUAACAUCAUGGACCACUCCUUACCAUUCCCUCCAUCUGGCUGUGCUUCCUGCAGCUCUUCCAAUGGCUGGCUUGUUCUCACCUUUGAAGUCUCAGCUCAAAGGACACUCCCUUGGGCUCUCCCUCAUCACCCUAACUAAUAGGUCACUUAAUAUUGUUAUUAUUUUUUAGAGACAAAGUCUCACUAUGUCACCCAGGCUUGCCUCAAACUCCUGGGCUCAAGCAAUUCUCCCACCUUGGCCUCUCAAAGUUCUAGGAUUACAGGCGUGAGCCACUAUGCCUGGCUAUGUCACUUAUUAUUCUUUAUUAUCUUCUAUAUAUAAAUGAUCCCAAUCUAUAAUUAUUUGAUUUAUUGAUUGGUUUACUUGCUUAAUAUCCAACUCCCAUACUAGAAUAUAAAUGUUAUAGAACAAGAGAUUGUCUGUACCAUCCACUGUUCUAGUCUCAUUACCCCACAUAAGGCCUGGCAUGGAGUGUGCACCUAAUAAAUGUUUGAAUAAAUAUUGACUGGAUCAGGGAUUCUUCUGAUGGGCCUGUGUGCUCUAAGAGCUGUUAUAUCCACCAGCAGUUGUGUGUUAACCUAGAGAGGAGCUAAGUCCUGUCCUCAGACUGAACCCACGAUGGCUUCCUCUCCCUUUUCCCUGGUUUUGCAGAGUAUAGAAGAAAUAACAUAAAAUUUCUUUUUUUGCAAUUAGUUUGCAAAAUAGUAGAGGCUGCUUUUUGCACUCUUACUCAUGACUCCUCCUCUGGGAAGCCGCUGUCGCCUGGCAAAAGGGCCCUACAUAUGUGUUCCCACAGCACUUUGAUAAGGUGUAAUUUAUAUUCAAUGAAAUUCACCUAUUUUAAGUGCACAGUUUGAUGAGUUUUGAUAAAGGUAACCACUCCAAAGAGUUUCCUGGUGCCUUGGCUUCUUCUAUUUCUUUAAUAUCGUGAUAAAAUACACUGAAUAUAAAAUUUACCAUCUCAGCCACCUUUAAGUGUACGAUUCAGGCUGGGUGUGGUGGCUCACACCUGCAAUCCCAGCACUUUGGGAGGCUGAGGGGGGAGGAUCACUUCAGCCCAGGAGUUUGAAACCAGCCUGGGCAACAUAGUGAAACCCCACCUCUAUUUUUAAAAAAGUAUACGGUUCAGUGGCAUUAUGUACAUUUGCACUGUUGUGCUGCCAUCGCCACCACCCAUCCAUGGAACUGUUUUCAUCUUGCAAAUCCAAAACUCUGUGCCCAUUAAACAAUAACUCCCCAUUCCCUUUCCCCACAGCUCCUGGCAACCACCAUUCUAUUUUCUAUCUCUAUUAAUUUGACCUUUGGCUUCUUUUAAAAAGUUGUGGUUAAAAAGUUAUAAAUUACAAUCUUAACCAUUUUUAAGUGUAAGAUUCAGCAGUGUUAAGUAGCAGCUUUUUUUUUUUUUUUUUUUUUUUGAAGACAGGGUCUCAUUCUGUUACCCUGGAGUGUGGUGGUGUGAUCUUGGCUCACUGAAGCCUCAAACUCCCAGGCUCAAUCAAUCCUCCCACCUCAGCUACCUGAGUAGCUGAGACUACAGACAUGUGCCAUCAUGCCCAGCUAAUUUUUGUAUUUUUUGUAGAGAUGGGGUUUUGCCACCUUGCCCAGGCUCACCUUGAACUCCUGGGCUCAAGCAAUCCACCCGCCACAGCCUCCCAAAGUGCUGAGAUUACAGGCGUUAGCCACUGUGCCGGGCCUGCAGUUUCUUUUUAAGGUAGUUUUAGGUUUAGUUAGCGAUGAAUGCAGAAAAGCCCAAAUAACAGUCACUUAAAUAAGGUUGUCCACGGCUUCCCUGACAGCUCCACCAUCAUGGAGGACUCAGGCUCCUAUCUUGUGCUUUGUCAUUUGUAACACACAACUUCCAUCUAUCUCAUAGUACAAAAUAGCUGCUCCAGUUCCAGCCAUCACCUCCACAUUCCAGCUAGCAUAAGGUGAAAGUGGGAGAAAGGCACACUUUCUCUCUUUUAGAGCUCUUCACAGAAAUUACACAUACUAUUUUGUGCUUAUAUCCCAUUGGACAGAACUUAAUCACAUAGGCCCAUCUCACUGCAAUGGAACUGGGAAAUAGUCUUUCUUCUGGAUCACACAUUUCAGUUCUAGUUUAUGGGUCCCAUUGCUGAGAAGGAAGAGGAUAAUGCAUGUUGGGGAACCCCCACUGGUGUCUUCCACAACUUCCCCUCCUCAUAGUGCUGAUCACUGCACUGAAAUUGAUUCCUCCCUCUUAUUGGACUGUGGACCCCUUCAGUUAGGGGCUUGUGUCUUUUAUAGCUUAGCACAGAGCCAGGUGCAUUUAGAUGCUUAAUGUUUGUUGUACAAAUACAUGAUUUCAGCCCAGUCAGCUUAUUUUAAGAAUUAUUGUUUUUAUUAUUUUUUUGAGACAAGGUCUCACAGUGUUGCUUAGGCUGGCCUCAAACUUCUGGGCUCAAGGGGGGCCUCCCAUCUCAGCUUCUCAAGAAGUUGGGAUUACAGGUGGCUGCCACUGCACCAAGCUCUAAUCCUUUUUUUUUUUUUUUGAGACUGAAUCUCACUCUGCCACCCAGGCUGGAGUGCAGUGGCAUGAUCUCGGCCCACAACCUCCGCCUCCUGGGUUCAAGUGAUUCUCCUGCCUCAGCCUCCCAAGUAGCUGGGAUUACAGCCGUGCACCACCACACCUGGCUAAUUUUUAUUUAUUUACUUAUUUUUUUUUUUUAGUAGAGACAGGGUUUCUGCAUGUUGGCCAGGAUGGUCUCAAACUCCUGACCUCAAGUGAUCCACCUGCCUUGGCCUCCCAAAGUGCUGGGAUUACAGGCGUGAGUCACCACACUCUAAUUUUAAGACUUACUGAAGUGAAACCCUAAAGGGGGAAGAGGCUAGAGUCCUCUAGUCCAUGUUCUCACCAAAUUCAGGAAACUGCUUUAUUGCAAACUUGACAGGUGGCCUCCACCUGGCCACGCCACUGCCAGGCACUCCCCGCCUGCACUGCUGGGCACCUCCAGCCAUCACAGCCCCUUCCUGGUGCAGAGCCACACUUGGCCUCCAUGAAGCUGCCACAUUGGUCCUACCCACCCUCCAUAUGAUGUGUCUACAUCUACAG